rnacentral:rRNA from 1 species
UACGAGGGGGGCGAGCGUUGUUCGGAAUUAUUGGGCGUAAAGGGUGCGUAGGCGGUUUGGUAAGUCUGAUGUGAAAUCUAUGGGCUCAACUCAUAGUCUGCAUCGGAAACUGCCGGGCUUGAGUAUGGGAGAGGUGAGUGGAAUUCCUGGUGUAGCGGUGAAAUGCGUAGAUAUCUGGAGGAACACCGGUGGCGAAGGCGGCAUCCUGGACCACGACUGACGCUGAGUGAGCGAAAGCCAGGGGAGCAAACGGG